AACGAACGCUGGCGGCAGGCCUAACACAUGCAAGUCGAGCGAAGCCUUCGGGCUUAGCGGCGGACGGGUGAGUAACGCGUGGGAACGUGCCCUUCGGUACGGAAUAGCCCCGGGAAACUGGGAGUAAUACCGUAUGUGGUCGAGAGACGAAAGAUUUAUCGCCAAAGGAUCGGCCCGCGUUGGAUGAGGUAGUUGGUGGGGUAAUGGCCUACCAAGCCGACGAUCCAUAGCUGGUUUGAGAGGAUGAUCAGCCACACUGGGACUGAGACACGGCCCAGACUCCUACGGGAGGCAGCAGUGGGGAAUCUUAGACAAUGGGGGAAACCCUGACCUAGCCAUGUCGCGUGAUCGAUGAAGGCCUUAGGGUUGUAAAGAUCUUUCAGUGGGGAAGAUAAUGACUGUACCCACAGAAGAAGCCCCGGCUAACUCCGUGCCAGCCGCCGCCGUAAUAC
rnacentral:rRNA from 1 species